rnacentral:rRNA from 1 species
CGAGCGCUGGCGGCGUGCUUAAGACAUGCAAGUCGAACGGUAAGGCUGGCCACCCUUCGGGGUGGUCGGUACACGAGUGGCGCACGGGUGAGUAACGCGUGGGUAAUCUACCCCUAGGUCUGGGACAACUUCGGGAAACUGGAGCUAAUACCGGAUAAGACCACGAAGUCUUCGGGCUUUGCGGAAAAAGGUGGCCUCUUCCUGAAAGCUAUCGCCUGUUGAUGAGCCCGCGUCCCAUUAGCUUGUUGGUGAGGUAACGGCUCACCAAGGCUCUGAUGGGUAGCUGGUCUGAGAGGAUGAUCAGCCACACUGGAACUGAGACACGGUCCAGACUCCUACGGGAGGCAGCAGUCGGGAAUCUUGGGCAAUGGGCGAAAGCCUGACCCAGCAACGCCGCGUGAGGGAUGAAGGCCCUCGGGUCGUAAACUCCUGUCAGGUGGGAAGAAAUGCCUGUCGGUUAAUAGCCGACAGGAGUUGACGGUACCACCAAAGGAAGCCCCGGCUAACUCCGUG